AGAGUUUGAUCCUGGCUCAGGAUGAACGCUAGCUACAGGCUUAACACAUGCAAGUCGAGGGGAAACGACAUCGAAAGCUUGCUUUUGAUGGGCGUCGACCGGCGCACGGGUGAGUAACGCGUAUCCAACCUGCCCACCACUUGGGGAUAACCUUGCGAAAGUAAGACUAAUACCCAAUGAUAUCUCUAGAAGACAUCUGAAAGAGAUUAAAGAUUUAUCGGUGAUGGAUGGGGAUGCGUCUGAUUAGCUUGUUGGCGGGGUAACGGCCCACCAAGGCUACGAUCAGUAGGGGUUCUGAGAGGAAGGUCCCCCACAUUGGAACUGAGACACGGUCCAAACUCCUACGGGAGGCAGCAGUGAGGAAUAUUGGUCAAUGGACGAGAGUCUGAACCAGCCAAGUAGCGUGCAGGAUGACGGCCCUAUGGGUCGUAAACUGCUUUUAUAAGGGAAUAAAGUGAGUCUCGUGAGGCUUUUUGCAUGUACCUUAUGAAUAAGGACCGGCUAAUUCCGUGCCAGCAGCCGCGGUAAUACGGAAGGUCCGGGCGUUAUCCGGAUUUAUUGGGUUUAAAGGGAGCGUAGGCCGGAGAUUAAGCGUGUUGUGAAAUGUAGACGCUCAACGUCUGCACUGCAGCGCGAACUGGUUUCCUUGAGUACGCACAAAGUGGGCGGAAUUCGUGGUGUAGCGGUGAAAUGCUUAGAUAUCACGAAGAACUCCGAUUGCGAAGGCAGCUCACUGGAGCGCAACUGACGCUGAAGCUCGAAAGUGCGGGUAUCGAACAGGAUUAGAUACCCUGGUAGUCCGCACGGUAAACGAUGGAUGCCCGCUGUUGGUCUGAAUAGGUCAGCGGCCAAGCGAAAGCAUUAAGCAUCCCACCUGGGGAGUACGCCGGCAACGGUGAAACUCAAAGGAAUUGACGGAAGG
rnacentral:rRNA from 1 species